GUGGCUGGACUCGGCCGCCGCUGCGGUGUGAGGCGCGUGUUCGGGCUCUCGCCGUCCCCGCACCCGCACCGCGGCUCCUGCUUUGCGGUCAGCCGUUCGACGCCAGCCUUCGGGCCCCUCGCCCGCCACAGACAUGCCGCGCGUCUACAUAGGACGCCUUAGCUACAACGUCCGGGAAAAGGACAUCCAGCGCUUUUUUAGCGGCUAUGGCCGUCUCCUCGAAAUAGACCUCAAAAAUGGGUACGGCUUCGUGGAGUUCGAGGACUCCCGCGACGCCGACGACGCCGUUUACGAACUGAACGGCAAAGAGCUCUGCGGCGAGCGCGUGAUCGUGGAGCACGCCCGGGGCCCGCGCCGCGAUCGCGACGGCUACAGCUACGGAAGCCGCAUGACCAAUGGGGCUGAGGCUGUGUCCACUGAGGCUAAGAUGACUGCCUUUCCUGAUUGGCCUUGGCUUUUCCAUACAUUGUGUGACCCUUGCCCUAUGACCCUUUGGCUGACCUUACCGGAAGCCAUGACGACAGCAGCCUUUUGCCAUUAGACGCAGGGUGAUGGUGAGGAUUCCAAGGGUUAGACAAAACUGGUUAAUCUGAACUAGGUGACUGUUACCUUGCGUGUUUUGUGGCCAAACCACCACCAAAAACCUCACACUGUGAUGUGGUGGAGGUGGAUACAGCAGUCGGAGAACCUCUGGCAGAGACAAAUAUGGACCACCUGUUCGUACAGAAUUCAGGCUUAUUGUAGAAAAUCUUUCUAGUCGUUGCAGUUGGCAAGAUUUAAAGGAUUUCAUGAGACAAGCAGGUGAAGUAACCUAUGCGGAUGCUCACAAAGAACGCACAAAUGAAGGCGUGAUUGAGUUUCGUUCCUACUCUGACAUGAAGCGUGCUUUGGAUAAACUGGAUGGUACAGAAAUAAAUGGCAGAAAUAUCAGGCUCAUUGAGGAUAAACCACGAACGAGCCACAGGCGGUCUUACUCUGGAAGCAGAUCAAGGUCACGGUCUAGAAGAAGGUCACGAAGUAGGAGUCGCAGGAGCAGCCGCAGUAGAUCUCGAAGUAUCUCAAAAAGUCGCUCCAGAUCCAGGUCUCGGAGCAAAGGUCGAUCACGUUCUCGAUCAAAAGGCAGGAAAUCCAGAUCAAAAAGCAAAUCUAAGCCCAAGUCUGAUCGGGGCUCCCGUUCACGCUCUCGAAGCAGAUCUAAGGAGUAUGAGAAAUCUCGAAGCAGGUCUCGUUCUCGAUCUCGUUCCCCCAAAGAAAAUGGAAAAGGUGAUAUAAAGUCAAAAUCUAGAUCAAGGAGCCAGUCUCGUUCAAAUUCACCCCUACCUGCUCCACCCUCAAAGGCACGUUCUGUGUCCCCUCCACCAAAAAGAGCUUCAAGAUCCCGUUCUAGAUCUCGUUCAAAGUCGAGGUCACGGUCCAGAUCGAGUUCCAGAGAUUAACUUAGAACUCUACAUUCUUUGCACACUAUUAUGGAACACUUUCCUACUUGCUUAAGCAGUUACUCUUCCAUGUUUGUACUUGGCCUCUUUGCAAGAGGAAUCUCCUGAAAACAGGGGCACACAGAAAUUUGAUUUGUGGCCAAAUUUGAUGAAAAAGAUGAGGUUCUAAAGAAAUGGUGGCAUGAAGUCAAAGAUCCUCUCCCUUCUUUGUAGAAUUAAGAUAACUUUGAUUUUAUAGCUUUUGAGCUAAAAUAACUUUUGUAAAGAUUAAGCUCAUUUAGAUUUUUUUUAAGUAUUUCAGCAGGAUCUGCUGCAGGGGUUUUGUUGUUUUGUUUGCUUACUUUUAAAUUAACCGUUUCAAGCUUUGAAUACCUAAGGCUUUAGAGGGAGAACCCAAUUUUCAAUUAUGUUGGCUUUUUAUAAGCUUGAGUUAUGUAAGAUUUCAAUAAAAAUUUGCUACCAAGAUAAUUGCCUUACUGAAUAGGUCACUAUUAAAUUCCUUUAAAUAUUGGUAAUCUCUUUGUGGAAACGAUGUAAAUUCAAAGUGUAAAAGAAGGCAAGCCUCAGACCAGCAAUAAAUUAUUGGAUUUGGAUAACAUUUUGUGCUGUUAAUCAAAUUUGCCAAAGUCCUAUCUGCCCCUUUGAGUUUAAAAGGUAUUUCGUGGUCCGUCUAUUAUACGAUUUUGCCUAAGUUAGUGGAUUUUAAAUGAUGAAAACUUUUCAACUUUAAUUGAACUCUUGAAGAAGUAGUUCUUAAUACUUGAGAACCCGUUUAGCCUGGUAAUCCCACUUUAUGGAGAAAUGGUCAGUGUAAUUAGUGUUUUGUUAGAAUAUGGUUCCAUGGUCUUUAGUGUUUGUUGUAUGAAAAUGGAAGUAGCCUUUCUUUGAUUGGAAAUUUAGCAUAUUCUUGUUCAAAGUAGAAAAGCAAAUACUGCAUUUUCAGCUGGAAGAUUAUUAUAUUUAACAGGCACUUAACAGGUUGCUUGGUAAAAUUGGUUGCUGAUUAGAGUGAAAUUCCACCCAGCCAUCAGUCGUUAAUGGUUGAUGGGGUUAUGUGAUAAUUGAUUAGAUCAUCCUUGUAACUUUACAGCAUAUGGUGGGCUUGAAAAGAAUUUACAUGGGUAACCUCUAAAUUUUCUGUACUUUAAUAUAUGCUGUGGAAGCCAAAUUAUACUGCAAAUUUGUAGGAGUUAACUGGAUAACCAAUGGGUCCAUGCAUCUAUAAACCUAAUUAGUUGAAGUUGCAAUUUGAGAAAUGAAUUACCCUCUAUUUUUAUGUUCAGAUACUUUAAUUCCAUUUAAAAGCACUCGUUAAUCUUGGUUUGAAACCAAGAUACAGAUUGUUUGACUCCGCUUUAUUAUCUUCUAGGAACUGUCACUGCAUAAGGUGUCAAGGACUGGAUUGUACUAUAGUGGGGCAUAGUGGCAUAGUGCUCAUCAUGCCACAGAUGUGACUAGAAAGCAUGAUAAUCUAGAGUUGGUUUGUAGGUUCCAAUAAUCCAGAAGGCAUACCUGAGAUGAGGCUGCUUGAGAAAAUUGAGUCAAAGAUUUAGGUGUCAAAAUCCCAGAGUAGCUGGGAGGAGUACUUGCUAGUGCAUAGAAAGAUUUGUUAUUCAGAAAUUUCUGAGCUUCCUGUUAGAAAAUUUUAGAGCCUACUCUUAGGAAAAUAGUGCCCCAAAAGGCUGAUGCUUCUUCCAUGACCUUAUUUUCUUUUCUUUACUCUCAUACUGUUUUAAAGUUUAGAUAUUCACAAGAAAUGGGUUUUUUCCCAGUAUAAACUUCAGAAUUUGAAAGAAGACACUAGUGUCUGUGAUUGUAGUUAUUUUCCUACUUGAAAGAACAGAAGUUACAAUUCACGAAGAGGCACAUCUCCAGCUGCCUUUCAAAAUUUGGUUAAAGAACAAGUUGGUUUAAGAAUUGGCUUUGACCAAAGUUUUCUCGUUUUCAGGGAAAGAACAAAAGCUUUUAAAACCACAGCCUUUUAAAAAGGAAGGAGGGGGGAAUAUUGCAGUGUGAAAUUUGACUUUGUAAAAGUGUAAAACAUCUUUCAACUGGGCUUUCUUGUGUUAGUCUAACCUCACAUGGUAAUGGGCAGGUUUACCUACGUUGUUAGCUUGCUUUCCCCCAAAGUGGGUAAUUAUAUGGGUAAGUGCCUACGCCCAUAAAAGUUUCCUGGUAAUAGCAAAGACCAACUUAUUGAGAAUCUAGUCCUAUUCUAUCCCUGUGGACCUCAAUGUCAUUGGAUAUACCUAAACCACUAUAACACUGGCCCACUUGAGAACAGAGUUGACUGCUGAAAUGUUUAUUAGUUCCUUGCUAACUUAUCAGUAGAAUCUGAGAGUCUGCAACAUGCCAUGUGUAAAUCCUUGGCUAGAUAGAGUAUUAAACUGAGCGCAAAAAUAGAAAUGAGCAACAUCUCGAUUCCCCUUUCUUUUUACCUGAUAGUGUUGACUGACACGCCAUAGUGCCUUUAAGGCCAAUUUGAGUCCUACCAGGUCCUGUGAUUUACGUUCCAGUCCUGUGUUGUUACUACCUUUCAUCUUGGUAUCUUCUUUUCCCCACUUUGUUAACCUACUUUAUGCUUUAUCUCCUCAAUAAAAUGCUUACUGAGG